CAGUCGCCGCGGUAAGACGGAGGGUGCUAGCGUUGUUCGGAAUCACUGGGCGUAAAGGGCGCGUAGGCGGCCUGUUAAGUCGGAUGUGAAAGCCCGGGGCUCAACCCCGGAACUGCAUCCGAGACUGGCAGGCUUGAGACCGGGAGAGGAGGGUGGAAUAUCCAGUGUAGAGGUGAAAUUCGUAGAUAUUGGAUGGAACACCGGUGGCGAAAGCGGCUCUCUGGCCCGGAUCUGACGCUGAGGCGCGAAAGCGUGGGGAGCAAACAGGAUUAGAGACCCGCGUAGUCCCUGUCUCUUAUAC
rnacentral:rRNA from 1 species